UUUUAGAUAAAAGAGUAGGAGACCGGGGCAGGUGUUUCCAUUCUAUCAUCCCUGGAUUCUUUUGGAUAAAACGUGACGUCAUACUAACGCGUAGUAAUACCAUUUACCAUACAGUCGUUGCUCGAUACAGUUGAUGUAAAGUGGAAGAAGGAAGGUCUGACUCUGACGCUUGUAGCGUUUGGAUUCUGCGCUUAGCCAGGAACUGCUUUCGAUUGUUGGCGGGCGCCGCCAUCUUGGUCAGUGAGCUCACGAGCGGCAGUACGAGAAGCCGUUGUUAGUUAUAACAAAACCUAUCCUCAUUGUAAUACCACAUAUUAAUUUAUAUAUUUACAAGUAAUAUUUCAAGUCGUUUAUUUCCGUUCAUAUUUAUAUUUAAUAAUAUAAAUAAUGGCUGAACGUGAGGAUAAUGUCUACAAGGCAAAGCUUGCCGAACAGGCGGAGCGUUAUGAUGAAAUGGUUGAGGCAAUGAAAAAAGUUGCUUCACUGGACGUUGAAUUAACUGUUGAGGAAAGAAAUUUACUGUCAGUUGCAUACAAGAAUGUUAUUGGUGCUAGAAGAGCUUCCUGGCGAAUAAUUUCUAGUAUUGAACAAAAAGAAGAGAAUAAAGGAGCGGAAGAAAAACUCGAAAUGAUUCGUCAAUACAGAUCUCAAGUUGAAAAAGAGCUUAGAGACAUUUGCGCGGACAUACUCGAUGUCCUCGAUAAGCAUCUCAUUCCUUGCGCCUCAACAGGCGAGUCCAAAGUCUUCUAUUACAAAAUGAAGGGUGAUUAUCAUCGUUACCUGGCAGAAUUCGCGAUUGGCACUGACAGGAAAGAAGCCGCUGAGAAAUCCUUAAUAGCAUACAAAGAAGCGAGUGAAAUCGCAAUGACUGGACUCCCUCCCACUCAUCCAAUUCGUUUAGGAUUAGCCCUCAACUUCUCCGUCUUUUAUUAUGAAAUAUUGAAUAGUCCGGACCGAGCAUGUCGUUUGGCAAAAGCAGCCUUUGAUGAUGCUAUCGCCGAACUUGAUACUCUAUCUGAAGAGAGUUACAAAGAUUCUACCCUCAUUAUGCAACUACUCAGGGACAACCUCACUUUAUGGACCUCGGACAUGCAGGGAGAUGAGUCUGAUACUGAACAACCGUUACUGCAUGUUGACAAUCCUGUAUCCGAUGACAAUGAUACUCAUCCUUAAAUUUAUUCUACUUCCUUGUCUUUAUUUUUCCUCUGUUAUUUCUUCUACUUCUUGCUUGGUGAGGGAGAACAAAAGGAACAAACGCAAGAUGUAGACGAUCAGGAUGUAUCGUAACUUUAGUUUCAGUGAGUGUUAUUUGCGCAUACAAUUGGGACACAAUAAAAAUAAAACAACAACAAAUAAACUCUUAUUAAUUAAGUAAAUAAACAAACAAAACCAACAAAAAAUAAUUAAUAAUAAUAAAAUGAAAAAAAGAAAGAAAUAAAAUUGAGGGGGUUGAAUGUCGCGGUGGGAAGAAAAGAAGAGAAAAGAGGGAGGGUUAAAACGACUAUGAAAGAGGGUGGAGAUAAAAAAAUAAUGUGAGAUCUUUAGUUACUUACAGUUAUAACUCGUUAAUAUUACAACCUUAUUAAAAAACAAAACCUAUAUUUAAUAAUUGGAAAUGAAAAUAAAUCUUGUGGUAAGUUAAAAUUUUUAACAACUAUAUUUACAAUAUGUGCACAUGUAUACAAAAACAUAAUAAUAAUAAUAAUUACUGAGUACAUGAAAAAAAAAAUUAUAAUUAUUAUUGUAUUGUGUAUAAUGUACUCUUUUAUUGAUGUGACGUUUUUGCGCGAAGAAACAUUAAAAAUUUUUACAUAUCGAAGAUUUACUUAACCAUUUAUUAUUAUUAUUUUUAUUAUAAUUAUUAUUCAAUAUGUUUUAAAGUUUAAUUUUUAUAAUUUCAGUUGUUCUUUUUAUUCUAUUUUUUAUUGUAAACAUAAAACCGAUGAAAUUUUUUAUGGUACUCAUUGUAUGAAAAUUGAUUUAAAUUUAAAAGAGUAAAACUUACAUUAUUAAACAUAUUAUUUUUUUUUAUUUGAUGAAAAUAUCUCUGUCUCUAUAAUAUAUAUUAUAUUAUCCAAUUGUUGUAUAAAAUGUUCCUUCUCGCAAUUCACAUAAUUUAUUAAUUAUAAAUAUUAUACUGAUAAAAAAAAAGUCAUCGUGAUUACUAAUACUCUGCUCUUUUCGUUCAAAACCCUCUUACUAACAAUCGCGAUACUUUGUGAACGUUCUCAAAACGUUUGUUGUCCCAUAUCGAUAAAAAAAAAAAAAAAUAAAAAAAAAACAGCGGCACGAAAUAAUUGAUGCAUGAAUUAAAAUGAAUUAUAUCGCGACGAAAAGGAAUU
rnacentral:misc_RNA from 1 species